ACUCCUACGGGAGGCAGCAGUGGGGAAUUUUGGACAAUGGGCGAAAGCCUGAUCCAGCAAUGCCGCGUGUGUGAAGAAGGCCUUCGGGUUGUAAAGCACUUUUGUCCGGAAAGAAAUCCUUGGCUCUAAUACAGUCGGGGGAUGACGGUACCGGAAGAAUAAGCACCGGCUAACUACGUGCCAGCAGCCGCGGUAAUACGUAGGGUGCGAGCGUUAAUCGGAAUUACUGGGCGUAAAGCGUGCGCAGGCGGUUUGCUAAGACCGAUGUGAAAUCCCCGGGCUCAACCUGGGAACUGCAUUGGUGACUGGCAGGCUAGAGUAUGGCAGAGGGGGGUAGAAUUCCACGUGUAGCAGUGAAAUGCGUAGAGAUGUGGAGGAAUACCGAUGGCGAAGGCAGCCCCCUGGGCCAAUACUGACGCUCAUGCACGAAAGCGUGGGGAGCAAACAGGAUUAGAUACCCGUGUAGUCCCAUGAU
rnacentral:rRNA from 1 species